GGUAGGUUGGCCGAGAGAUAGGCGGUGGAUUGUAGCUCCAAUUACAGAGGUUUAAGUCCUCUCCUUACCA
rnacentral:tRNA from 2 species